GGGCAGUUGCCAUGGGAGGCCCACCGCGUCCUGAAAGGAAGAUGCUCAAUUUUUCGGAGCAUCGGAAGAGGAUACCUGGAUUCGGAGUGGCGUGGCCUCCACGGUGCACCCCGUGCUGGUGGACAGGUCAGGACGGGGAAGUUGCCUUGAGAUGCCCACCAUGUGCUGCCGCAACACAUGGUUGAUUCUUCCAAGCAGUGGAGUCCCUAUGGAGUCGUGGAGUCAGUGUGGCCUGGCAUCCAUGGUGCACCUCAUGCUGGCAGGUGGCUCAGCAUGGUAAGCAUUCCUCCCCUGAGUGCUGAGUGAGGGUAUCUUGUCGAUUUCCAAGGCAGGCAUUGCCCAGCCUGUGGUGUCAAACAUCCUGUGUUUUCAAAUGUGCUUGGAUCGAUGAUGAGUCCUACAAAAAAACAUUCCUUGGAAAAGCUGAACAAAAUGAGUGAAAACUCAUACCGUCGCUCUCAUCGGAACUGAGGUCCAGCACAUUGAAUGGAAUUGAAGUGAUCAGCAGACCUUCAAUUUAAUUGGGCCUGUUUCUCAAGUGUGCAUUUGAUUUAUUCACACUUCUCAGGAUCAGUUAAUCAUGAAAGCUCUGCUGCUUGCUGGCAAGGAAGAUGAUCUAGUCUUCUGACCUAUAGAGGCUGCAUUGAGUCCUUGAUUCAGUGUGGCGUGCUGUCUGCAGUGCACCCCGUGCUGGUGGGUGGCUCAGGACGGGGCAGUUAUCAUGGGACAUCUGCCACAUGCUGGCAAGGAAGAUGGUCAGUUCUUCUGGACACAAAGGCCCCCAGAGUCCUGGAGUCAUUAUGGCCUGGCAUCCAUGGUGCACCCCCUGCUGGUGGAUGGCUCAGGACGGGGCAGUUGCCUUGAGAGGCCCACCACGUGCUGCCACAACAGGUGGUCAAUUCUUCCGAGCAAUGGAGUCCCUAUGGAGCCAUGGAGCCAGUGUGGCCUGGCAUCCGUGGUGCACCUUGUGCUGGCGGGUGGCUCAGGACGUUAUGAUGGGACGUCCCCCAUAACCUGGCAAGGAAGAUGGUCGGCUCUUCUGAGGCACAAAGGCCUCGAGUCCUGGUGUUGGUAUGGCCUGGCCUCCACGGUGCACCCCUGCUGGUGGAUGGCUCAGGACGGGGCAGUUGCCUUGAGAGGCCCGCUGCAUGCUGCCACAACAGAUGGUCGAUUCUUACAAGCAACGGAGUCCCCAUGGAGUCGUGGAGUCAGUGUGGCCUGGCAUCCAUCGUGCACCUUGUGGUGGCAGGUGGCUCAGGGCGGGGCAGUUAUCAUGGGACAUCCGCCAUACGCUGGCAAGGAAGAUGGUCAGUUCUUCUGGUCCACAAAGGCCCCCGGAGUCCUGGAAUGGUUGAUUCUUCCACGCAACGGAGUCCCCAUGGAGCCGUGGAGUCAGUGUGCCCUGGCAUACAUGGUGCACCGCAUGCUAGCAGGUGGCUCAGGACGUUAUGAUGGGACGUCCCCCAUAACCUGGCAAGGAAGAUGGUCGGCUCUUCUGAGGCACAAAGGCCUCGAGUCCUGGUGUUGGUAUGGCCUGGCCUCCACGGUGCACCCCUGCUGGUGGAUGGCUCAGGACGGGGCAGUUGCCUUGAGAGGCCCGCUGCAUGCUGCCACAACAGAUGUUCGAUUCUUACAAGCAACGGAGUCCCCAUGGAGUCGUGGAGUCAGUGUGGCCUGGCAUCCAUCGUGCACCUUGUGGUGGCAGGUGGCUCAGGGCGGUGAGCCUCAGCUGGGAGUGUGGCCGGAGAUUGGGUCUGGUCACGAUGUCAGAUGCCCCAUGGGAAGUGUGUGUGCUCAGACCAAGGGUGGAAGCUGUUAG
ensembl:lncRNA